GAUGAACGCUGGCGGCGUGCCUAAUACAUGCAAGUCGAGCGAACGGACGAGAAGCUUGCUUUUCUGAUGUUAGCGGCGGACGGGUGAGCAACACGUGGAUAACCUACCUAUAAGACUGGGAUAACUUCGGGAAACCGGAGCUAAUACCGGAUAAUAUUUUGAACCGCAUGGUUCAAAAGUGAAAGACGGUCUUGCUGUCACUUAUAGAUGGAUCCGCGCUGCAUUAGCUAGUUGGUAAGGUAACGGCUCACCAAGGCAACGAUGCAUAGCCGACCUGAGAGGGUGAUCGGCCACACUGGAACUGAGACACGGUCCAGACUCCUACGGGAGGCAGCAGUAGGGAAUCUUCCGCAAUGGGCGAAAGCCUGACGGAGCAACGCCGCGUGAGUGAUGAAGGUCUUCGGAUCGUAAAACUCUGUUAUUAGGGAAGAACAUAUGUGUAAGUAACUGUGCACAUCUUGACGGUACCUAAUCAGAAAGCCACGGCUAACUACGUG
rnacentral:rRNA from 1 species